CCAUGUUAGACUAUCUUAGACUAUCUUAGACUAUCUUUGAGAUGACUACAGCUACGCAAUAAAGAACUUCUGCGUGUAAGAUACCUCAAGAGUCUCCUGGUCUGUUGCGUGGAAGAAGAAAAACUUCACUACAGAUGGUGCCGUGACCCGGAUAGAGAAAUCUUACCUGAAUCAAGAACUGCAACAAAAGAUUUCAACAGAGAAAUCUUACCUGAGUUCCAGAACAAGAUCAACAAAGUGAACUGAGUUCCAGAACAAGAACAAAAAGAACUUUUCUGACUGAGUUCCAGACUGAAUCUUUUCAUACAAGCAACGAUUCGGUGAGUUUCACUCUAUUCAAAGAACCAGACCAGUACCAAAGUUGUGCCUCUGCGCCGUCAGAGAAAGAGUUAUCAGGCAGCUGUAGUGUUUGAUUAACUAAAGUUAUCCUUUAAAAGUUGUCUUUUAAAGAUGAUAGAUAUCCUCUGUUGUCAGGCAGGGAAGAUUGACAUUAAAUGUUAAUAUUUUGGGAUCCUCUGAAUAAGUCAG